rnacentral:lncRNA from 1 species
AUGGAAGUGUUUAAAUUCACCAGAACUCCUCCCCUAUACAUUAGAAAUGUGUGCAUCCAUUUGUCAUUAGCACUGCCAGACCCAAAUAGCAAGAGGAAAGCCAGCAUAGUCCAUUGCUUGCCUGGGCACAGGUGGGUGAUAGAGCACCCCUGGGAAACCCAAAUCUAUACCAGCACAGAAAAUACUGAAGCAACAGCUCGAUCCCAGGUAGUGUCACAGCAGCAAGGCCUGUCACUGCUCGUCUCCUGCAGAGAUCUGACAUGCAUCAGAAAGAUGAUUUCCAACACAACUUUUGUUUCAUACAAAAACCUGUUUGUGCAUCCUGUAAAAAAGCAAGGUUUCUCUAAGCUCUUCUCCAUUCUGCCUGUUAAAAAAAAGAAAAUGCUAAUAAUUGAGACAAAGAUCUCUCCAGCCACCACCUUUUGUGCUACAUGCCAUGGUACAACUUGCUCAGGAGAAGUCUCAGUUCCUGUUAUGGGAAGAGUCUCCUCCUGUUUAUUGAUCCAACUUCAAGAUGUGUUUUCUCCACAGUUGGCUCUAAAUUCCAAUAAAAAUGUACAGUCAACUAAAGCAUAGCAUAUGAGAAAAAUCUCAAAUAAUUUUCUUCAGACAGGAUCUUCUGUAAAGCUAUUUUAUUCGCAAUUGCAAUGGUGGGCAUCCUGACAAUUAGGAGUGCAUUAUAGUAAACAAACCAUAACCUUUUAUUCCCUAAUACCCAACACCUGAUCACCUCUCUGGCUGAGUACUACAUUGGCUGAGUACUACAGGUUCACAAACUACUCGACACUCCUCUAUACCAUAUAUGUACAUUUUUCCUUUUUCCUUUCAACCCUUUAAUUUCUCCCUUCUACUGUCCACUUAUCUACUUAGCAUUUCUCCUUAUUAUGACUACACAGCUACCUUGGAAUACAAAAAAGUAAUUCUCUACUGCAAAAAUACAACUUUUAGGUUCUCACAUAGCAGAAAAUGUCUUUGGUCACCUUCUCAAAGGUACAGAAAAAACAGGACCACCAUUAAAUUAGAUGACUGAAUGUGACACUAGGGAUAAGAAAUGCACAGAGGUCUAAUACCUCAGUAGUCUUUCAGGCUUUUUUGCAGGCUUACAAAGAUUUGCAAUGCUACCCGAAGUUACUUACAACACUACUCUAAUUUUCAGUCUUUAUACACUUAAGCAAAGUAUACUACAGAGGCCUACAAUGUGAUUUCUUUAAUCUUGUUUUUAUAUAUUGACUAUCCUAUAGUGCUACGGUUACUGCAAGGUGGAAAAAAAAAUCCAUUCAGAUUAUACUGGCUGCAAAACUGUACAAUUGUCAUCAUUUCCAUAGUGCAAUGGGGCAAUUUUCUUAAUACGGGACCUCAGUCCACAUGUGUACUCUGCUUAGAUGUCUGUGAUUCAAAAGGAAAAUAUUUCUACUCCUCUACACCACACAUUCUAAACCUAUUUGCUAUUCAGUAUAAUGGAAAAAAAAAAAUAAAAAAAUUCAAAGAUGAGACUUUUUGAAAAUG